GUAGGCGGCAAGCGUUGUCCGGAAUUAUUGGGCGUAAAGCGCGCGCAGGCGGUUCUUUAAGUCUGAUGUGAAAGCCCACGGCUCAACCGUGGAGGGUCAUUGGAAACUGGAGAACUUGAGUACAGAAGAGGAAAGCGGAAUUCCACGUGUAGCGGUGAAAUGCGUAGAGAUGUGGAGGAACACCAGUGGCGAAGGCGGCUUUCUGGUCUGUAACUGACGCUGAGGCGCGAAAGCGUGGGGAGCAAACAGGGAUUAGAUACCCUGGUAGUCCACGCCGUAAACGAUGAGUGCUAAGUGUUAGGGGGUUUCCCGCCCCUUAGUGCUGCAGCUAACGCAUUAAGCACUCCGCCUGGGGAGUACGGCCGCAAGGCUG
rnacentral:rRNA from 1 species